GACGAACGCUGGCGGCGUGCUUAACACAUGCAAGUCGAACGGUAAGGCCUUCGGGUACACGAGUGGCGAACGGGUGAGUAACACGUGGGUGAUCUGCCCCCUACUCUGGGCUAAGCCUGGGAAACUGGGUCUAAUACCGGAUAUUACCUCAUUCUGCAUGGUUGGUGGUGGAAAGUUUUUUCGGUAGGGGUUGAGCCCGCGGCCUAUCAGCUUGUUGGUGGGGUAAUGGCCUACCAAGGCGACGACGGGUAGCCGGCCUGAGAGGUCGACCGGCCACACUGGGACUGAGACACGGCCCAGACUCCUACGGGAGGCAGCAGUGGGGAAUAUUGCACAAUGGGCGAAAGCCUGAUGCAGCGACGCCGCGUGGGGGAUGACGGCCUUCGGGUUGUAAACCCCUUUCAGUCGGGACGAAGCGAGAGUGACGGUACCGAUAGAAGAAGCACCGGCCAACUACGUGCCAGCAGCCGCAGUAACAC
rnacentral:rRNA from 1 species